rnacentral:tRNA from 1 species
GCCCUCGUAGCUCAAUGGCUAGAGCAACGGUCUUCGGAACCGUGGGUUGGGGGUUCGAGUCCCUCCGAGGGUGCCU